AACUCAAAUGAUCUAUACAAGUACAUUUAUACUAUCUAUUUCACCGGCGUUUACAUUACAGUAUCAUUAAUUGAUCAGUUCUGUCUACUACCGUCAUCUUACGCAGCUAUAGACGAAACGAAGUCUUCCUCCGUAUCAGAAACCAAACACGAACAACAGUUUGCAAGGCAGUGCCCGAAUGUCGAAACGCGAAAUUCCGACGAACAAGCCUCCAGAUACAAGCUUAAAUGCGAUGCGAGCGACAGCUAAUAUUUUAGAAGAGUAGUGAGCGAAAUAGGAAAAAUGGCACCGCAUUUUGACAAAUCAGUAACCAUGAAGAAAGAACCACGUCGCCGAAGUCGAUGGGAUUUAACCCCAGAUGACAUGAAGGACUGGAAGAAGAAAGAGUCGCCACACCGAGAAAACCGCGAGAGUCAUCCAGAGUUCCGACCUGGCACCGAGCGACUUCCACUUAUUCCCAG